GCGCCCCGACCGAGGUGUGCCCGGGCUCUCCGGCCACCACUAGGCAAUCCCACAUCUACAGCCAGCCGAUGAACAUGGGCAAAGUACCGCAGGUGCUGAGCUUUCCCGCAGGCCAGGGACAGAGUCACCACAUGAGGAACUCCAAGGACGGACCCAGGAUAUUUAAAGCCAGUGGGAUGCUCCGCCGAAAUCCCGACCAGCUGGGAACCCCUCUGCACGGCCAGGACCCUAAACACAAAGAGACGCCAUCGCUCAACGGGGCCAGAUCCCAGCGGGGUCCACAAGUGCCGACUUUCCAUUGUGUCAGGGGGUGCUCGACCCCUGGCUCUGCCCCAGGCCCCAACCCCACUCCACCCCUUCCCUCAAGGCCACACCCCUGCCCCGACCCUUCCCUACCACUUCCCACCCCUGUGCGCGCUGCGUCCUCGCUCCUCUGCCCUUCCCCCAGCCUCCUGCACCACAAAACAGGGGAUUGCGGUGAGCGGGAGGUGCGGGGAUGGAGGGAGAAGCACUG